rnacentral:snoRNA from 1 species
UCAAGAAGCUAGAAAUUCUAAGGCUCAGAUAAAUGUAUGAACAUAGUUAUACUCCUUGACCACAAAAGGUCUCAUAGAGCUGGGAUUAUAUGUUAUCAUCAUCACCUCG